rnacentral:rRNA from 1 species
AUUGAACGCUGGCGGCAUGCUUUACACAUGCAAGUCGAACGGCAGCGCGAGGCAACCUGGCGGCGAGUGGCGAACGGGUGAGUAAUACAUCGGAACGUACCCAGAAGUGGGGGAUAACGUAGCGAAAGUUACGCUAAUACCGCAUACGUUCUACGGAAGAAAGUGGGGGACCUUCGGGCCUCAUGCUUUUGGAGCGGGCGAUGUCUGAGUAGCUAGUUGGUAGGGUAAAGGCUCACCAAGGCGACGAUCAGUAGCUGGUCUGAGAGGACGACCAGCCACACUGGGACUGAGACACGGCCCAGACUCCUACGGGAGGCAGCAGUGGGGAAUUUUGGACAAUGGGCGCAAGCCUGAUCCAGCAAUGCCGCGUGAGUGAAGAAGGCCUUCGGGUUGUAAAGCUCUUUUGUCAGGGAAGAAACGGCUGAGGUUAAUACCUUCGGCUAAUGACGGUACCUGAAGAAUAAGCACCGGCUAACUACGUGCCAGCAGCCGCCGUAACAC